GAAAUCAGAGGAAACUAUCUUUGUAGAAGAGUCGCAUAAAAAUCAGAGACAGAUGUUCAGGCCACUGGAAGAGACAGUCUUCUGCUCUAAACUUCCUCAUGCAUCACCUGUCUGUCUGUAACUACGCGACACUGAAUCAUAAUUUUUCAGCAAUCACCUGCAGCCAUAGGCUUGAUGAGACAGUGCUGCUGUCGUUACAUGCACUGCCAGGGUGUGGGUGAGCACAGACUCUCACCUAAAGAAGCGUUCCCUUGACAUUUCUGCUGUUCAAGACAAGUAUCUACAACGGCAAGUCUUGCCGAACACAAAAUUGUGGCUGAAGUAAAUAAUAAUAUUUCAUGUUCAGUUGAAUGCCUGAUCUUAUUGCUGUUUAGCUUUGCCAGCAUAUUUAGAGCAAUAUUCUAUGGAAGCUUCUCCAGCAAAGUUCUGCCUGGAGUUUGCUACUGUUGGAACAAAACAUCGGUUUCCAUCUGAGUUUCCUUGAAGCCUUUGUGUGGACUUUCCCACCUGAUUAGCACCAAAUCUGUUUUCACUCAUCAGAAUAUCCACUAGAUCUAUCAGCAACUGGAUUUUCCCAGGACCUAGCAUUCUUCAGUCUUAAGAACAUCUCCAAAUAACUGUUCAUCAUCCUUCCCAAUAUCCUACCAG